rnacentral:rRNA from 1 species
UGCCAAACCCUAGCCCAAUCUACCUGACCUGGAAUAACAAAGCUACUCCCAAAACCCAACUAAAGCAUUCAUUAGUCCCAGUAUAGGCGAUAGAAAAGACACCAUUGGAGCGAUAGAGAUCACGUACCGUAAGGGAAAGGUGAAAUAGAAGUGAAAACUAAGCUAAAAACAGCAAAGAUCAGCCCUUGUACCUUUUGCAUCAUGGUCUAGCAAGAAAAACCAAGCAAAAUGAAUUGAAGUUUGCCUCCCCGAAACCUAAGCGAGCUACUCGUGAGCAGCUAACUUGAGCGAACCCGUCUCUGUUGCAAAAGAGUGGGAUGACUUGCUAGUAGCGGUGAAAAGCCAACCGAGCUGGGUGAUAGCUGGUUGCCUGUGAGACGAAUCUAAGUUCACUCUUAAUCCUUCUCCAAGGAAACCCCGAACCCUAAUGAAGCGGAUUAAGGGCAAUUUAAAGGAGGGACAGCUCCUUUAAAAAAGAAAACAAUCUCCACCAGCGGAUAAGUAAUUACUCCAAAAGCUAAUGUGGGCCCUCAAGCAGCCAUCAAUAAAGAGUGCGUUAAAGCUCAACACCUCAAAAAUAUAGAAUCAACAUGAAUCCCUCACCACUAACAGGCCAACCUAUGACAAUAGGAGAAUUAAUGCUAGAAUGAGUAACCAGGGUAAACCCCUCUACGACGCAAGCUUACAUCUGUACAUUAUUAACAAGCACCCAAUAUACGACAAAUCCAACAAGCAUAGUAUUAAACACCUUGUUAACCCGACAGAGGAGCGUCCGUAAGAAAGAUUAAAACCUGUAAAAGGAACUCGGCAAACCCAAGGCCCGACUGUUUACCAAAAACAUAGCCUUCAGCAAACCAAAGAACAAGUAUUGAAGGUGAUGCCUGCCCGGUGACGCAGUUCAACGGCCGCGGUAUCCUAACCGUGCAAAGGUAGCGCAAUCAAUUGUCCCAUAAAUCGGGACACGUAUGAAUGGCUAAACGAGGUCUUAACUGUCUCUUACAGGCAAUCGGUGAAAUUGAUCUCCCUGUGCAAAAGCAGGGAUAAUCCCAUAAGACGAGAAGACCCUGUGGAACUUCAAAAACAGCAACCACCCCAAUAUACAUCCACACCCACCCCGGGCGCACUUAUUCCUAAAGCACUGGUUAGCAUUUUUUCGGUUGGGGCGACCUUGGAGCAAAACAAAACCUCCAAAAAUUGGACCAUCCCUCCAGACUAAGAGCAACUCCUCAACGUGCCAACAGCACCCAGACCCAAUAUAAUUGAUCAAUGGACCAAGCUACCCCAGGGAUAACAGCGCGAUCUCCCCCGAGAGUUCAUAUCGACGGGGAGGUUUACGACCUCGAUGUUGGAUCAGGACAUCCUAGUGGUGCAGGGGCUACUAAGGGUUCGUUUGUUCAACGAUUAACAGUCCUACGUGAUCUGAGUUCAGACCGGAGCAAUCCAGGUCGGUUUCUAUCUAUGAUGAACUCUUCCUCGUACGAAAGGAUCGGAAAAGUGAGGCCAAUACCACAAGCAAGCCUUCGCCUUAAGUAAUGAAACCAACUCAAUUACAAAAGGCUAUCACACCCCCCCCAUCCUAGAAAAGGACCA